ACUGAUUUUUAGACAGACAGACGAUGUAAAAUGGCUGGCGGAGAGGUUGAUUCGUAGUCUCUUGGUGUUUAUGUUGUGAUUUCUGAUUUAUAAAAGGAUUUUAUAUAAAUAAAACAGUGUUGUGCGGACAUUAAUUUAUUGUUUUCACAGGAACAUUGUUUGUGCACAGCUUCAAACAAGGUGAGUACACUUUUACGACGAUUUUAUAAUUCCUACCCAUGACGAAAAAAGUGAGUACGAUAUUUUCAGUUAUGUAUUUUAUAUUUUGAUAUAAAAUAUUCCAAUAAAAGAAAUAUUCAACAAACAACUCAGCCAUUGUAUAAGUUUACGGGGAGUACAUUUAAUUGUUUUAAUAAUUUUCUAUAUUGAGAUGUUCAAGAGAUUUCGGAUUCUUCAAAGAUUUUCCAGAUACGCUAUAUUCAGAGUCAGAUGGAGCCUUUUACCGAUCUUUUGUUUGCCAGUUACCAUGUAGCCUAACCAUCUAAGUAUUUUUUAUCUAAUAAUCUGGACAAUUUUAGGUGUCCUGUACAGUUCUUUAAUUUCUACAUUAUUUGUUCUUCUCCUGGUAUUCUUCUACUUCUACCUGGUCCAUAGGUAUGGACCAGAGCAUUUAGCACAAAA
rnacentral:lncRNA from 1 species